UCCGGUUUGGCACCGGCAGUCUUCCCAGAGUCCCCGCCACAACGCGCUGGCAACUGGGAACGGGGGUUGCGCUCGUUGCGGGACUUAACCCAACAUCUCACGACACGAGCUGACGACAGCCAUGCAGCGCCUGUGCUGGUGUCCCGAAGGAGGCCCUCCGUUUCUGGAGGGUUUCACCAGCAUGUCAAGCCUAGGUAAGGUUCUUCGCGUUGCGUCGAAUUAAACCACAUGCUCCACCGCUUGUGCGGGCCCCCGUCAAUUCCUUUGAGUUUCAGCCUUGCGGCCGUACUCCCCAGGCGGGGCACUUAAUGCGUUAGCGCCGGCACUCAAGGGGUCGCUCCCCCAAGCACCUAGUGCCCAUCGUUUACGGCGUGGACUAC
rnacentral:misc_RNA from 1 species